GCACCACUAACGUUUUUAACCCGACCUACACUACAUCCUCUCUAAUCGGACAACUGCUUUCUCAGUUCUUACAUGCGACUCAAUUUCUAUUACAUUAUCUCUCUCUGUCUCAGCUUCUACUGCUUGCACAUGUUAAAGUGUCUGAUCUUAUGAGUCGACAAUUAGCAUACGAAUAGGACAACCGGCGAAAUAUGGAUGCAAUUGGCACGCAAGAGAAUAUUGUUUUGAAGUCUCUAGAACAAAAACAGCUCUGUAGAAGCCGUCAUGAUAUUCUGAAUUCUCGUCUAAAGAACCGAGAACGGCAGCGUAGAUACAGGGCCCGCAAACGCUCGGAAGCAAAUACAAAGGGGGAUUCUGUUCUAAACCGAUCAAUUAGACCACAAGAACAGCUGGAAAAGAAUGGGAGUCUUAGCAAAGACAGAAACACAGUUCAUUGCAAACGAAAUUGGAAAAGAGAUGCAAGAAAUGCUCAUGCUGGUAAAACUCUAGAAGUGGUUCCGCCUAAUGCUAGUAUUAUUUCGGCUUUGACUUUAAAUAGUGGAAACGAGUCUCAUUGUCUGGUCCCUCUAGCGGCUGCGGAAUCACAAUUAGAGAGGAUAGAUCAUCCAGAGAAUUCAUUUGUCAUCCCAAGCAGUAAAUCAAAUGUCAAGCUAGGUAGAAGAAAUUGGAAGGCUGAAGCAAGAAGAAAAGCAAAAAACUAAAUUGUUAAUUGGUGUGGAUAAUUAUCGUGGAAGACAUUGAAGCGAUGAAAAAAUGAUGAAACUUGUAUGCCGAUUGGGCAGUUCUUUAUUAUGCUGAUGUGGUAUUCGAAAAGAUUUUGCUAGGAAUGCGCAUAGUUUCUAUUUGCAGCUGCUGCUCCCGCAUACGUAGAGGGGAGGGUGCGCAACUGGUGCAUCAUGCUCUAUAGCCGGUGAGGUAACAUUUGAUUAUCCGCAGCUUUAUUGGAAGAUAAUCUGAAACCCGAGUUCUGAAACAUGUUGUAUUUGUAAAUGUCAGGUAAAGGAUAGAGUUGUUUUGUUUGAAUUCAUGAUCCUCACUAAAUAUUAUCACUUGCUAAGGUUAGAUUAUAAUUAUUGUUAUUUUCUGCAAAAUUUAUUGUUUUUUUAUAUUUAAUUCUAUGUAACUGAAAUCCCUUAUGUAGUUCAAAUAGGCAUAACUCGUCCGUUUUUCUA